rnacentral:rRNA from 1 species
UAAGGAAUAUUGGUCAAUGGACGAAAGUCUGAUCCAGCCAUGCCGCGUGCAGGAUGACGGCCCUAUGGGUUGUAAACUGCUUUUAUACAGGAAGAAAAACUUUCUCGUGAGAGAGCUUGACGGUACUGUAAGAAUAAGGAUCGGCUAACUCCGUGCCAGCAGCCGCGGUAAUACGGAGGAUCCAAGCGUUAUCCGGAAUCAUUGGGUUUAAAGGGUCCGUAGGUGGACAGAUAAGUCAGAGGUGAAAUCCUGCAGCUCAACUGUAGAACUGCCUUUGAUACUGUUUGUCUUGAGUUAUUGUGAAGUGGUUAGAAUGUGUAGUGUAGCGGUGAAAUGCAUAGAUAUUACACAGAAUACCAAUUGCGAAGGCAGAUCACUAACAAUUAACUGACACUGAUGGACGAAAGCGUGGGUAGCGAACAGGAUUAGAUACCCUGGUAGUCCACGCCGUAAACGAUGGUCACUAGCUGUUUGGACUUCGGUCUGAGUGGCUAAGCGAAAGUGAUAAGUGACCCACCUGGGGAGUACGUUCGCAAGAAUGAAACUCAAAGGAAUUGACGGGGGCCCGCACAAGCGGUGGAGCAUGUGGUUUAAUUCGAUGAUACGCGAGGAACCUUACC